UUUCACUUCCCAAGGAUUGUGUCGCAGCUUUUCCUCUCCGUGUGAAGCUCUAGCUGAAGGGUGGAGCCUGCUGGAGUCAGAUGGUUGACACCAGGUCCAUGGAGGUAUUCCUGUCAACUCACACUGGACACAAACACAGUGAACAGAAAA